UCCUCUUUCACUCCCUCUGUGCUCCCUGCCUCUGUGCUUACCAGCAUCACCAUCCUGUUUCUGUUCCUCUUUGUUUUACCACGUGGCCAUCACCAUCAAAAUCAGCUGGAUAAUCUACUGAACUGCUGCUCUGGCUUUUUAAAAGGAAUUGGUGAACAAGAAUACAGCAAUAAAGCUCUCAGCAUGCACUGCUCUCACUACAUCAUUACACCAGAUUUAGUCACAAGGCUCAUACUGGUCAGUUGGAUUCCCAUACUGGCCAGUUGGAUUCCCAUACUGGCGACAUGGCCAUUACCAUUGGCAUGUGGUAAUUAUCACAGUGGAGAAGACAAGGCAGAGAAAGACAGAAAGGAGUUGUAGUUUGUGGUGUUAAAGCAGUAUUAACAACAGCAAAAUGCUGCCUUUUGUAAUCACUGGGCUGGAGGAGUUGAAGUUACUCCUAUUGUUUUGUCCACUUACUGUCCCACCUGUGCACCAUUUACUCUUACCACUGAGAAGCCAGCGUGGAAAAGAUAUCGGUGGUUUCAGGUUCUUGGAACAGCUUCAAAAGCUCUGGUUCAGAGGAUAAGUCAGCAAGGAUCCUUAACUCAAUGUGGGAGAAAUCUAGAAAAGAGUGUUCAAAUAAAUCUAUUGCUCUAAAAUAAAAACCCAUCUCUGCCUUUGAUCCAAACUGUCAGAAAUUUAAAUGCAAGCCUGGACUCUCCAGCCAUUUCUUCACACUCAAGAAAACCCAAAUACCUCUAAAAAGCUCAUCCUGAAGAUGUUAGAUUCCAGCCACAAGAUCACAGUCUGAUUCCUUUG